rnacentral:rRNA from 1 species
UAGGGAAUCUUGCACAAUGGGCGAAAGCCUGAUGCAGCAACGCCGCGUGAAGGAUGAAGGCCUUCGGGUUGUAAACUUCUGUUCUAAGGGAAGAAACAAAUGACGGUACCUUAGGAGCAAGCCCCGGCUAACUACGUGCCAGCAGCCGCGGUAAUACGUAGGGGGCAAGCGUUAUCCGGAAUUAUUGGGCGUAAAGAGUGCGUAGGUGGUUACCUAAGCGCAAGGUUUAAUUUAGAGGCUCAACCUCUACUUGCCUUGCGAACUGGGCUACUUGAGUGCAGGAGGGGAAAGCGGAAUUCCUAGUGUAGCGGUGAAAUGCGUAGAUAUUAGGAGGAACACCAGCGGCGAAGGCGGCUUUCUGGACUGUAACUGACACUGAGGCACGAAAGCGUGGGUAGCAAACAGGAUUAGAUACCCUGGUAGUCCACGCCGUAAACGAUGAGCACUAGGUGUUGGGCCCGUUAGGGCUCAGUGCCGCAGUUAACGCAAUAAGUGCUCCGCCUGGGGAGUACGCUCGCAAGAGUA